rnacentral:rRNA from 1 species
UGGGAUAACCUCUCGAAAGAGGGGCUAAUACCGGAUAACACUCGGGGUCGCAUGGCCCGGGGUUGAAAGGCUUGCUGCUGGAAGAGGGGUCUGCGGGACAUUAGCUUGUUGGCGGGGUAACGGCCCACCAAGGCGAUGAUGUCUAGCGGGUCUGAGAGGAUGAUCCGCCACACUGGAACUGAGAUACGGUCCAGACUCCUACGGGAGGCAGCAGUGGGGAAUUUUGCGCAAUGGGCGAAAGCCUGACGCAGCAACGCCGCGUGAGUGAAGAAGGCCUUUGGGUCGUAAAGCUCUUUUCCGGGGGAAGAGAGAAGACGGUACCCCGGGAAUAAGCACCGGCUAACUCCGUGCCAGCAGCCGCGGUAAUACGGAGGGUGCAAGCGUUGUUCGGAUUUACUGGGCGUAAAGGGCGUGUAGGCGGGUGCGCAAGCCGGAGGUGAAAGCCCCAGGCUCAACCUGGGAAGCUCUUCCGGAACUGCGCGCCUAGAGAUGGCCAGAGGCAGGUGGAAUUCCUGGUGUAGAGGUGAAAUUCGUAGAGAUCAGGAGGAACACCGGUGGCGAAGGCGGC